UACACACUGCCCGUCACACCAUGGGAGCGGGUUCUGCCAGAAGUAGUUAGCCUAACCGCAAGGAGGGCGAUUACCACGGCAGGGUUCGUGACUGGGGUG
rnacentral:rRNA from 1 species